rnacentral:rRNA from 1 species
AUACGGAGGGUGCAAGCAUUAAUCGGAUUUACUGGGCGUAAAGAGCGCGUAGGCGGGACUGAAAGUCAGAUGUGAAAGCCCAGGGCUUAACCCUGGAAUAGCAUCUGAAACUUCAAUCCUUGAGGAUAGACGGAGAAGACGGAAUUCCACGUGUAGCGGUGAAAUGCGUAGAUAUGUGGAAGAACACCGGUGGCGAAGGCGGUCUUCUAGUUUAUUCCUGACGCUGAGGCGCGAAAGCGUGGGGAGCAGACGGGAUUAGAAACCCCAGUAGUCC